rnacentral:tRNA from 1 species
AGUAGUGAAGUAAAUUUAUACAUUUAGUUUCGACCUAAAAAUAAGAGAUAAUUAAUUCUCCUUACUU